CCCCAGACCUCGGGCCUGCUGGGCCCGGCCCUAGCACUGCUGUCGGCGUUGCUCAGCGCUCGGUAGCCUCUGUCCGCUGAAGCACCGCUCAGCCCAGCGGGGCCGCAGCAGCUUCUCGGUGCCAGAGCACGCUGGGGGAUAAACGGAGGCCGGAGAGAAUCGCACGUGGUCAGACCCACGGUUUUUGUUGAAACUAAAGCUACAACUCUCUGAGUAAAUGGACGUAAGAUCGCUUACUUUUUGCUCCCUGGUCUGAAGAAAGCCAGCCCUUGGGAAAGAUCAUAACCACAUUUGAAAUCAUAUAAAGAAAUAAGAGCCUUUUCUGAAAUCAGGUAUGAAAUACAGAUUUUGCAAUUUCUGGCGAAAAGAGAGAUAACUCAUCAGGAGAUUGUUUUGCUCUGUUCCUUAGUAAAAAAAAAAAAAAAAAAAAAAA